GGUUCCUACCCUAUUUAAGCAGCGGCCUGACAUCCUGUCCUCGCCGGAUUGUUAAGUCGUUUCAGAUCUCUACCGGACCCGUCCGAGACCAACUCACCUUCCUCGCCUCCUGGAUCUCGCUCUCCUGCCUGUUACCUGUCUGCUUCUCUGCCUGGACCCCAUCAGCUUCCUUCGCCUGCCUGCUCUGCCUGCCCCGAUCCCCGCAGCUGCCACCAGCUCUUUAGUUCAAUAAACCUCUGAGAACCAG